GGAUGAGAGGAACUCGUCGAUCUGCUAGAUUGACUGGAGCUCCGCUGGAGAAUGAGGACAUGGAUGCCCAUCUCCCCAUUCUGCAAAGGGCAACAUCAGAUAGAUUAAGCAGAGAAGGUACAUCAAGGGACCCUAGAAGGUCUGUUGAUGAGAGUAGAAGGGGAGUCGUUCAGAGUGGUAUGUCAGGGGAUAUGAGGAAAGUAGAGG
rnacentral:lncRNA from 1 species